AUACUUUCCUGGCAGGAGAGAUACCAUGUCGUGAAGGUGGUUUUCCCAGGGUGAGGCUCACCCAUUGCACUCUGGGUGUGCUGACUCCUGGGAUUUCCCCAAAUGUGGGAAACUGGACUGUGUGAUUUGUGGUAGUGGGGGACUGUGUUCAUGCUCUCUCCUA